rnacentral:rRNA from 1 species
UACAGAGGUCUCAAGCGUUGUUCGGAUUCAUUGGGCGUAAAGAGCGUGUAGGCGGUCCGGUAAGUCGGCUGUGAAAGUCCAGGGCUCAACCCUGGGAUGCCGGUCGAUACUGCCGGACUAGAGUUCGGAAGAGGCGAGUGGAAUUCCCGGGUGUAGCGGUGAAAUGCGCAGAUAUCGGGAGGAACACCUAUGGCGAAGGCAGCUCGCUGGGACGUUACUGACGCUGAGACGCGAAAGCGU